AGGGGAGCAAUCCCCUGAGUACAGCGGCGCACGGGUGAGUAACACGUAGGUGAUCUCCCCUCGAGCCCGGAAUAACCUACCGAAAGGUGGGCUAAUACCGGAUAUGACCACGGAAGUUUCGGCUUCUGCGGUGAAAGAUGGCCUCUACCUGUAAGCUAUCACUCAAGGAUGAGCCUGCGUGCCAUUAGCUAGUUGGUGAGGUAACGGCUCACCAAGGCUAUGAUGGCUAGCUGGUCUGAGAGGAUGGCCAGCCACACUGGGACUGAAACACGGCCCAGACUCCUACGGGAGGCAGCAGUGGGGGAUAUUGCGCAAUGGGCGAAAGCCUGACGCAGCGACGCCGCGUGGGUGAUGAAGGCCUUCGGG
rnacentral:rRNA from 1 species